rnacentral:ribozyme from 1 species
UGCCCAGCAACUCCUAUCCCUACUUCCUCGUGGUACUAGCCGGGUUACGAGCAACCUUAGGGAAGAUCGGGUAACCAACCCGGGUGGGAACUCUGGUCGUAUGCUGACAGGGAAGG